rnacentral:rRNA from 1 species
GCUCAGAUUGAACGCUGGCGGCAGGCCUAACACAUGCAAGUCGAGCGGUAGCACAGAGAGCUUGCUCUCGGGUGACAAGCGGCGGACGGGUGAGUAAUGUCUGGGAAACUGCCUGAUGGAGGGGGAUAACUACUGGAAACGGUAGCUAAUACCGCAUAACGUCGCAAGACCAAAGUGGGGGACCUUCGGGCCUCAUGCCAUCAGAUGUGCCCAGAUGGGAUUAGCUAGUAGGUGGGGUAAUGGCUCACCUAGGCGACGAUCCCUAGCUGGUCUGAGAGGAUGACCAGCCACACUGGAACUGAGACACGGUCCAGACUCCUACGGGAGGCAGCAGUGGGGAAUAUUGCACAAUGGGCGCAAGCCUGAUGCAGCCAUGCCGCGUGUGUGAAGAAGGCCUUCGGGUUGUAAAGCACUUUCAGCGGGGAGGAAGGCGAUAAGGUUAAUAACCUUGUCGAUUGACGUUACCCGCAGAAGAAGCACCGGCUAACUCCGUGCCAGCAGCCGCGGUAAUACGGAGGGUGCAAGCGUUAAUCGGAAUUACUGGGCGUAAAGCGCACGCAGGCGGUCUGUCAAGUCGGAUGUGAAAUCCCCGGGCUCAACCUGGGAACUGCAUUCGAAACUGGCAGGCUAGAGUCUUGUAGAGGGGGGUAGAAUUCCAGGUGUAGCGGUGAAAUGCGUAGAGAUCUGGAGGAAUACCGGUGGCGAAGGCGGCCCCCUGGACAAAGACUGACGCUCAGGUGCGAAAGCGUGGGGAGCAAACAGGAUUAGAUACCCUGGUAGUCCACGCCGUAAACGAUGUCGAUUUGGAGGUUGUGCCCUUGAGGCGUGGCUUCCGGAGCUAACGCGUUAAAUCGACCGCCUGGGGAGUACGGCCGCAAGGUUAAAACUCAAAUGAAUUGACGGGGGCCCGCACAAGCGGUGGAGCAUGGGGUUUAAUUCGAUGCAACGCGAAGAACCUUACCUGGUCUUGACAUCCACAGAACUUAGCAAAGAUGCUUUGGUGCCUUCGGGAACUGUGAAACAGGGGCUGCAUGGCUGUCGUCAGCUCGUGUGUGAAAUGUAAGAUCUGGGAUCC